UACGAAGGGGGCUAGCGUUGCUCGGAAUCACUGGGCGUAAAGCGCACGUAGGCGGACUCUUAAGUCGGUGGUGAAAUCCUGGAGCUCAACUCCAGAACUGCCUUCGAUACUGGGAGUCUCGAGUCCGGGAGAGGUGAGUGGAACUGCGAGUGUAGAGGUGAAAUUCGUAGAUAUUCGCAAGAACACCAGUGGCGAAGGCGAUCUUCUGGACGGAUACUGACGCUGAGGCGCGAAAGCUAGGGGAGCAAACGGG
rnacentral:rRNA from 1 species